UACGGAGGGUGCAAGCGUUGUCCGGAAUCACUGGGCGUAAAGGGCGCGUAGGCGGCUCAUGAAGGCUGUGGUGAAAGUCCGGGGCUCAACCUCGGAUCGGCCGUGGCGACUCGUGGGCUGGAGCACUGUAGAGGCGGGUGGAAUUCCGGGUGUAGCGGUGGAAUGCGUAGAGAUCCGGAAGAACACCGGUGGCGAAGGCGGCCUGCUGGGCAGUUU
rnacentral:rRNA from 1 species